rnacentral:tRNA from 1 species
ACCUGAAGGAUAGCUCAGUUGGUAGAGCAUGAGGCUCUCAAUCUCGGGGUUGUGGGUUUGAGCCCCAUGUUGGGUG